rnacentral:rRNA from 1 species
GUGUCAGCAGCCGCGGUAAGACGUAGGGCGCAAGCGUUGUCCGGAUUUAUUGGGCGUAAAGAGCUCGUAGGCGGCUGGUCGCGUCGACUGUGAAAACCCGCGGCUCAACCGUGUGGUCUGCAGUCGAUACGGGCUGGCUGGAGUUCGGUAGGGGAGACUGGAAUUCCUGGUGUAGCGGUGAAAUGCGCAGAUAUCAGGAGGAACACCGGUGGCGAAGGCGGGUCUCUGGGCCGAUACUGACGCUGAGGAGCGAAAGCGUGGGGAGCGAACAGGAUUAGAUACCCUGGUAGUCCACGCUGUAAACGUUGGGCGCUAGGUGUGGGGGGCCUCUCCGGCCUUCUGUGCCGCAGCUAACGCAUUAAGCGCCCCGCCUGGGGAGUACGGCCGCAAGGCUAAA